rnacentral:rRNA from 1 species
GAUGAACGCUGGCGGCGUGCCUAAUACAUGCAAGUAGAACGCUGAAGGAGGAGCUUGCUCUUCUGGAUGAGUUGCGAACGGGUGAGUAACGCGUAGGUAACCUGCCUGGUAGCGGGGGAUAACUAUUGGAAACGAUAGCUAAUACCGCAUGACAACAGUUAUUGCAUGAUAACUGUUUAAAAGGGGCAACUGCUCCACUACCAGAUGGACCUGCGUUGUAUUAGCUAGUUGGUGAGGUAACGGCUCACCAAGGCGACGAUACAGAGCGGACCGGAGAGGGUGAUCGGCCACACUGGGAGUGAGACACGGCCCAGACGCCUACGGGAGGCAGCAGUAGGGAAUCUUGGGCAAUGGACGGAAGUCUGACCGAGCAACGCCGCGGGAGUGAAGAAGGUUGUCGGAUCGUAAAGCUCGGUUGUAAGGGAAGAACGAGUGUGAGAGUGGAAAGUUCACACUGUGACGGUAUCUUACCAGAAAGGGACGGCUAACUACGUG